UUUGACCUACGGGGGGCAGCAGUGAGGAAUAUUGGUCAAUGGGCGGGAGCCUGAACCAGCCAAGUCGCGUGAAGGAAGAAGGUACUUAGUAUUGUAAACUUCUUUUGUCGGGGAACAAAGGCGGAGACGCGUCUCCGGAUGAGUGUACCCGAAGAAAAAGCAUCGGCUAACUCCGUGCCAGCAGCCGCGGUAAUACGGAGGAUGCGAGCGUUAUCCGGAUUUAUUGGGUUUAAAGGGUGCGUAGGCGGACUGUCAAGUCAGCGGUAAAAUACGGGGGCUCAACCUCCGCCCGCCGUUGAAACUGA
rnacentral:rRNA from 1 species